rnacentral:rRNA from 1 species
GACGAACCGUGCGAACGUUGUUCGGAUUCACUGGGCUUAAAGGGCGCGUAGGCGGAUGGUCAAGUCGGGGGUGAAAUUUUUCGGCUCAACCGGAAAAGUGCCUUCGAUACUGAUCAUCUCGAGGGAGGUAGGGGCAUGUGGAACUUCCGGUGGAGCGGUGAAAUGCGUAGAUAUCGGGAGGAACACCUGUGGCGAAAGCGGCUCACUGGACCACAACUGACGCUGAGGCGCGAAAGCUAGGGGAGCAAACAGG